AACAAAUCUUAUGCAUGGAUGGAGAGAUGCACAAAACCAGACACCACUUGGUGAUGUGAUCAGCCGUGAAGCCAGAAGUGCUGUUUUCAGUCAAGGCUGCUAAUACUCCCGGAGAUGUCAACAGAAAGCUCAAGCUUUUCUGGCAGAAUAGUGAGGCCUAGAAGCUAGAAGGCAUCUAGGAGGCAUCAGGCACUCAGGUACCAGAACAACCUCCUCCUUUCAGUACAGAGGAGACUUGACACUAGAGCUGGUAUGAAAGAUGGAAUUUAGCAUCUGAAUCUAAUCUAAUCCAAUCCAAUUAGCACCAUCACUAACAACAACUGAUGCUUGCUUCCAUUGAUGUAUGUUUUAGCAUUGACCAUGAACACCACAGCAUGCUGAGCAUCAUCAUUUCAGCAAAGAGCAUCACUGUAAACACAGUACUGUAAAGUAGCUUGUUUAGCCAGCACUGCACUGUCUGCUAUUUUCGUGCAGCAUCUGAAUAACACAAAACCAGUAAUCUUCCAUGUUUUACAAAACCAUAAUUCAGCAAAACAUCAUUUAUUUAAAAAUUGCAAAAUGAAUUGGGACAUUAUAUGAUUAUAUAUUAUUAUAAGAUUUAUGUUUAGCAAAUGUCAUCUGCUGAACAGUACUUACCUUUGAAAACAAUUUCCCAUCUUCCUCUCAUUCCCUGUCUUUUUUAAAACAUCUUUCUCCAUCUCACUGUUUUACGUUUAACUAGCAGACAAACUGCACAAACAAUUUGUCUGCUAGCUUAAUGUAAAAAAUUCCACAUAUGUACAUAUUUGUCAUAUUUGUUGAGGAGUUUGAAAAUUUGAAAUGACCUGUCACCAUUUUUUUUAAAACUCCAUUUAUGUUCACUCCUCGUCUGUCUCACUAGCUAAAUGCUAACUACCGUGACUGAAAUUUGUACAUCUGCACCAGGAAUGCCUCACAGGGAUGGGAAAAGUGUGAGCUGUGAAUGUAAUUAUUUUCUUAUUACAAGUAUCUCUAUGCUGUCAUCUGCAGAAUGUGAGAAAUUAGCUAAUUCACUCAGUAACAUGCAUUAAUCUGCCCACUCACUGACUAAAUGUUUAGAAUACUGAAAAUUGCUGACUUUUGCUAAAAACUGUGGAAUUGGGGUGCAAAGCCUAAAGGAACUACCAGGAGAGUAUUAUUGUUAAUGAAUAUAAACAAACAGUAUUCUGUUAUUACACGACCUGUUAGACCAACUGAGCACCAACUGAUCAUUUUUGAGUAUUUAAUUAUAUUGUUUCCAGACAGACUCUGACCUUUACUGUAGACUAAAACCUGGAGAUUUGGGAUUGGAUAAAUGGGCUCCGAAUUACCAAAUAAAUAUGCUUUUGUUUUAUUUCAGAAAUAACAUUGCAUACUUUGUUUUUUUCUCAAGCUUUUAUUUAUUUUUUCCGCUACAUGUGGCACUGUAGCUAUUAGAGAGGAGUGUUUAGACCUGGCAGCUUCUCCAUUUCCAAAGACUGUGUGCACACGAGCUUCUUGUUUAAAGGAGAUCAUGUCAUAUUUGACAAAUGUCCAACAUAUACAGUUGUUGCUGCUGUAAUGAAGCAAGGAUGUGGUCAGGUCUGAAAAGUCAAAACACUGGUCACACACCCAGCAGUAAAAUUGUUUCUUGGAUGUUCAGCUUCCUUUCCCCUCAGUGACAUCAUGCUGUCACUGCUGAACUUCCAACUGUAGAGCAGUACACAUUUUUUACCCUUAGUGAGAGUUUAGACAGUUGUUCAAUGAGACGAUCACCUGCAAGUGAUAUAAAAUA